UAAACACUUUAAAAGCGAGGACAGGCAGUGCAGAGGUGGAAUGUAGCCUUGAAAUGAUGCUUCUCCUGGAGCAGGGGUCCCCAACCGCCGGGCCGCCGACCGAUACCGGACCGCGGGUCAUUUGGUGCCGGCCGCACAGAAAGAAUAAACUUACAUUCCUUCAGUUUUAGUCAAUCCGGAAUCUGAAAGACGUUUUAUUUUGAAAAAUUACUGGAUUCUCUAUUACAUCAGUCUACAGUAUGCGACUCUUGAUGCAGGAAGGGGAAAAGGCCCAGCCAUGAAACAGAAGAGGAGCCAACGACUUCCAAGAAAGAGAAUGCUACAUUUAAUAGACAGUAUCAGGAAUCCUAUUUUAAAUACGGCUUUAUCUCAACGGGAGAUUCACACGCACUAAGCCAACUCUGCAUAAUAAGCAGAAAUGAAUGACCCAACCAACUACUGGACCCCGCAGGAACCAAGGACUGGUCCCAGUUCCACCCUGUGCCUGGCGGAGCACAUCUGCGGCCAAUACCCUUUUCCCCUUCAGGCAGCGCAGGAGCCCUGUCACGCCGAGCCCCGUCCGCAUCCACAUUGCCAUGUCAAGUGCCUGUUCGAAUUAAGUCACAUCCACGUCCACGUUGAGCCGAGCUACGUCCACAUCAGACCGAGCCCCAUUCAUGUCUGGCUGUCCCAUGUUCCCCAUCACGUUGAGCUCCGUACACGUCAGGACGAGCCGAGCCAUAGGGCUGCCGUCUCCCUCUGUUCUUGUUCUCCAGCAAGGCAAGGGUUGCCGUCACCCUCGUUCCUGUUCCCGGUGAGGCAAGGGUUGCCGUCGCCCUUCAUUCCUGUUCCCGGUGAGGCAUGGGUUGCCGUCGCCCCCCGUUCCUGUUCCCCAGCGAAGCAAACCUAUUUGUGACCAACAGGUGGCACUGUAAGGCUCAGCCUGCAGCUGCACACCUAUUAGUGUCUGUUAAAAGGACUCCCGACACGACCACUAGGUUUCGGGUCAUUGUUUGUUCUGUCAUGGUUUCUGUUACUGUUAGUUUUUUGCCUCAGCCAUGGUUUUUGUUUAAUACGUUGAACUCUCUCUGUGUUCAGUACUUGAGUUUGUUUUGGAUUUAGUUCUCUCAGCGUUUUGUUAAUACAGUUUGUCUAGUUCACCCUGCUCCUCCCUGCCUGCCUGCUUUUUGGGCUCCUCCAGCACCAUUUGUGACAAUUUGCUGCGUAUCUUAUUUUGAAGGCGCAUUUAAAGGUUACCAGAGCGACCAGAGAAUGUUGCGGCUACAUAGGACAUUCCUCGUGUUUAUUAUGUUUCAAAAAUACCACACUUUUCAUGCAGGUCAUAUUAUAUUGUUGUAUCUAUCCGGCCUUAAAAGGCCGGUCCCUGAAAAUAUUGUCGGACAUGAAAACAGCAAAAAAGGUUAGGGACCUGUGUCCUGCAGGAUACUAUGAAACUUCACAAGGGAGCUAUUAUAAAUUCCCCAAGCAAUGGUAACCUUUUGGUUGAUGAGAAAACAUUUCAGCCAUUGUGGUCAAGGUUUGUGUCACGUUGUGCCCGAAGCGACAGAGUAAUCGUUUCGUGCGCAAAAAACUGGAGCGAAGUGGAUCACCGAAAUAGCAGACAGAAAGGAUCACAAAAAUGAUAUUUAUUACAACACAAGAUCCCCGUCCAAACGGACAACAGAAAACGCUGGUCAAAAAGAGAACCGGGAAAUAAUUGUAACGAGGCAACAGAAAACCCUUGCGGAAAAAAACGUCAAGGAGAAAAUUUAGGCAAAAUACUAUGAUCACUCACGAGGGGAUAUCUAGGAACGUAACAAUUGUCAAUAGUCUUUAAAGCAGGGGUGCCCAAACUUUUUGGAUCGAAGAUCUACUUUUCGAUCAACUAACCUCACGGGAUCUACCCUUACCGGCGCGUGCACACACACAAAUUUAAGAUUUACUUGCUUUAUUUUAUUUUUUAAUUUUUUUUUUUGAUGAAAAUGAGACUGAUAAGAUGAUUAGUGUGCAGUGUAUAUUAACACAAAAAAUAUAUUACUAACAUGUACAAAGACACACAAAUGGUUGUUUGUUUUUUUUUCUUCUCGACACUCCUCGGAUCUACUUGGGACCUGUCUUAGAUCUACCGGUAGAUAAGGA